AAUAGAUACCCCGGUAGUCCACGCCCUAAACGAUGUCGACUAGGUGUUGGGGAAGGAGACUUCCUUAGUACCGCAGCUAACGCGUGAAGUUGACCGCCUGGGGAGUACGGCCGCAAGGUUAAAACUCAAAGGAAUUGACGGGGACCCGCACAAGCGGUGGAUUAUGUGGAUUAAUUCGAUGCAACGCGAAAAACCUUACCUACCCUUGACAUGUACGGAAUUCCGCAGAGAUGUGGAAGUGCCCGAAAGGGAACCGUAACACAGGUGCUGCAUGGCUGUCGUCAGCUCGUGUCGUGAGAUGUUGGGUUAAGUCCCGCAACGAGCGCAACCCUUGCCAUUAGUUGCUACAUUCAGUUGGGCACUCUAAUGGGACCGCCGGUGACAAACCGGAGGAAGGUGGGGAUGACGUCAAGUCCUCAUGGCCCUUAUGGGUAGGGCUUCACACGUAAUACAAUGGUCGGUACAGAGGGCUGCCAACCCGCAAGGGGGAGCUAAUCCCAGAAAGCCGAUCGUAGUCCGGAUUGUAGUCUGCAACUCGACUGCAUGAAGCCGGAA
rnacentral:rRNA from 1 species